GUGGGGAAUUUUGGACAAUGGGCGAAAGCCUGAUCCAGCAAUGCCGCGUGUGUGAAGAAGGCCUUCGGGUUGUAAAGCACUUUGGCAGGGAAGAAACAGUGCGUGCUAAUACCAUGCGCGAAUGACGGUACCUGCAGAAUAAGCACCGGCUAACUACGUGCCAGCAGCCGCGGUAAUACGUAGGGUGCAAGCGUUAAUCGGAAUUACUGGGCGUAAAGCGUGCGCAGGCGGCUUUGUAAGACGGAUGUGAAAGCCCCGGGCUCAACCUGGGAAGUGCAUUCGUGACUGCAAGGCUAGAGUGUGUCAGAGGGAGGUGGAAUUCCGCGUGUAGCAGUGAAAUGCGUAGAGAUGCGGAGGAACACCGAUGGCGAAGGCAGCCUCCUGGGAUAACACUGACGCUCAGGCACGAAAGCGUGGGGAGCAAACAGGAUUAGAAACCCUAGUAGUCC
rnacentral:rRNA from 1 species